AGCAUCUUAAGAAUUGAAGCACAACGAUCGAUUGUAUCGGAGAGGAGUGACCAGGCUACCAAUUUGCUUGUGGAGAUCGGCUGAUGAGUUGAUGGCCUGCGAUGGCAAACUUUUUGUCCUUCCUCAUUGAAUUCUGGCGACCAACUGACGUUUUUCCCCUGGAGAAAGACGAUUAUCUCAUAACAUUCUUUACUAUUUUGUCUGUGUGUCACUUGAUUCUUCCUUUGUCGAAACUGAUAUGUGUGUGUUUAUUUUUCUUUAUGAAUUUAUGGAAGACUGAGAACCUCGGACUCGUGAGAAUGG
rnacentral:lncRNA from 1 species